UACGAAGGGGGCUAGCGUUGCUCGGAAUCACUGGGCGUAAAGCGCACGUAGGCGGCUUUUUAAGUCAGGGGUGAAAUCCUGGAGCUCAACUCUGGAACUGCCUUUGAUACUGGGUGUCUUGAGUAUGGAAGAGGUGAGUGGAAUUCCGAGUGUAGAGGUGAAAUUCGUAGAUAUUCGGAAGAACACCAGUGGCGAAGGCGGCUCACUGGACCGGUAUUGACGCUGAGGUGCGAAAGCGUGGGGAGCAAACAGG
rnacentral:rRNA from 1 species